GAUGAACGCUGGCGGCGUGCUUAACACAUGCGAGUCGAACGAUGAAGCCCAGCUUGCUGGGUGGAUUAGUGGCGAACGGGUGAGUAACACGUGAGUAACCUGCCCUUAACUCUGGGAUAAGCCUGGGAAACUGGGUCUAAUACCGGAUAGGAGCGUCCACCGCAUGGUGGGUGUUGGAAAGAUUUAUCGGUUUUGGAUGGACUCGCGGCCUAUCAGCUUGUUGGUGAGGUAAUGGCUCACCAAGGCGACGACGGGUAGCCGGCCUGAGAGGGUGACCGGCCACACUGGGACUGAGACACGGCCCAGACUCCUACGGGAGGCAGCAGUGGGGAAUAUUGCACAAUGGGCGCAAGCCUGAUGCAGCGACGCCGCGUGAGGGAUGACGGCCUUCGGGUUGUAAACCUCUUUCAGUAGGGAAGAAGCGAAAGUGACGGUACCUGCAGAAGAAGCACCGGCUAACUACGCG
rnacentral:rRNA from 1 species